CAAUAGCGUAUAUUAAAGUUGUUGCAGUUAAAAAGCUCGUAGUUGGAUUUGUGGCGUAUGGUGUGUUCCGGGCACUUGUUGUCUGAGUAACCUGCUGUUGCCAUCCUUGGGUGGAACCUGUGUGGCAUUAGGUUGUCGUGCAGGGGAUGCCCAUCAUUUACUGUGAAAAAAUUAGAGUGUUCAAAGCAGGCUUAUGCCGUUGAAUAUAUUAGCAUAGAAUAAUGAGAUAGGACUUUUUUGCUAUUUUGUUGGUUUGCGCAAGAAGGUAAUGAUUAAUAGGGACAGUUGGGGGUAUUCGUAUUCCAUUGUCAGAGGUGAAAUUCUUGGAUUUUUGGAAGACGAACUACUGCGAAAGCAUUUACCAAGGAUGUUUUCAUUAA
rnacentral:rRNA from 1 species